AAAAAGACAAACCAUGGUUUCCGUGCCCAACGUUUGACCGUCCGUCUUAUUUAAAAAAAUUAUGAAAAAAAUGAAAAAGACAAGUCACGUAUAAAAUAUUAAUCAUGUUUUAUCAUCUAACAGCAAUGAAAAUACGAAUUAUAAAAAAAUUUUAUAUAAGACGGACAGUUAAAGUUGGACACGGAAACCCAGGGUUUGCUUUAUU
rfam:Oryza sativa Japonica Group DNA, chromosome 3, cultivar: Nipponbare, complete sequence.